rnacentral:rRNA from 1 species
GAUGAACGCUAGCGGCAGGCCUAACACAUGCAAGUCGAGGGGCAGCACAGAAACAGCAAUGUUUUGGUGGCGACCGGCGGACGGGUGCGUAACGCGUAUGCAACCUACCUUUAACAGGGGGAUAACGGAGAGAAAUUUCCACUAAUACCCCAUAACAUCGAUCAAGGCAUCUGGAUUGGUUGAAAACUCCGGGGGUUAAAGAUGGGCAUGCGUUGUAUUAGGUGGUUGGUAAGGUAAUGGCUAACCAAGCCUACAAUACAUAGGGGAACUGAGAGGUUAGCCCCCCACCCUGGUACUGAGACACGGACCAGACUCCUACGGGAGGCAGCAGUGAGGAAUAUUGGUCAAUGGGGGCAACCCUGAACCAGCCAUGCCGCGUGCAGGAAGACGGCUCUAUGAGUUGUAAACUGCUUUUAAACAGGGAUAAAGCACAGUAUGUAUACUGUGUUGAAGGUACUGUAAGAAUAAGGAUCAGCUAACUCCGUGCCAGCAGCCGCCGUAA